rnacentral:rRNA from 1 species
UACGUAGGGCGCAAGCGUUGUCCGGAAUUAUUGGGCGUAAAGAGCGCGUAGGCGGCCCUGUAAGUCCGCUGUGAAAGUCAAGGGCUCAACCCUUGAAUGCCGGUGGAUACUGCAGGGCUAGAGUCCGGAAGAGGCGAGUGGAAUUCCUGGUGUAGCGGUGAAAUGCGCAGAUAUCAGGAGGAACACCGAUGGCGAAGGCAGCUCGCUGGGACGGUACUGACGCUGAGACGCGAAAGCGUGGGGAGCGAACAGG